AACCUGGCGGCGUGCCUAUAAUGCAAGUCCAAGCAACUAUUUUCACCGGAGCUUGCUCCAUCGAAAAUAGUUGAGUGGCGGACGGGUGAGUAACACGUGGGCAACCUGCCCAUCAGAGGGGGAUAACACUUGGAAACAGGUGCUAAUACCGCAUAAUUCAUUUUCUCGCAUGAGAAGAUGAUAAAAGACGCUUCGGUGUCACUGAUGGAUGGGCCCGCGCUGCAUUAGUUAGUUGGUGGGGUAAUGGCCUACCAAGACCGUGAUGCAUAGCCGACCUGAGAGGGUGAUCGGCCACACUGGGACUGAGACACGGCCCAGACUCCUACGGGAGGCAGCAGUAGGGAAUCUUCGGCAAUGGACGAAAGUCUGACCGAGCAACGCCGCGUGAGUGAAGAAGGUUUUCGGAUCGUAAAACUCUGUUGUUAGAGAAGAACAAGUGGGAGAGUAACUGUUCCCACCUUGACGGUAUCUAACCAGAAAGCCACGGCUAACUACGUGCCAGCAGCCGCGGUAAU
rnacentral:rRNA from 1 species